rnacentral:rRNA from 1 species
GAUGAACGCUGGCGGCGUGCCUAAUACAUGCAAGUCGAGCGAAGCGGGGACGGGUGAGUAAAACGUGGGGCACCUCCUUUAAGAAUGGGAUAACUUCGGGAAACCGGAGGUAAACCGGAUAAUUAUAGCUGGAUCCACGCUGCAGUAGCUAGUUGGUAAGGUAACGGCAUACCAAGGAAACGAUCCAUAGCCGACCGUAGAGGGUGAGCGGCCACACUGUAACUGAGACACGGUCCAGACUCCUACGGUAGGCAGCAGUAGGGAAUCUUCCGCAAUGGGCGAAAGCCUGACGGAGCAACGCCGCGUGAGUGAUGAAGGUCUUCGGAUCGUAAAGUACUGUUAUUAUGGAAGCGGUACCUAAACAGGAAGCAACGGCUAACUACGUGCCAGCAGCCGCGGUAAUAC